rnacentral:ribozyme from 1 species
UGCCCAGCAACUCCUAUCCCUACCUUCUCGUGGUACUGGCCUGGAUACGAGUAACCAUAGGAAAGAUAUGGUAACCAAUCCCGGUGCGUUCUUUGGUCGUAUACUGACAGGGAAGG